rnacentral:piRNA from 1 species
UGGGUUUGUGCUCUUAGACAAAGUCUUAGC